rnacentral:tRNA from 1 species
GUCAGGAUUGCCGAGCGGUCUAAGGCGCUGCGUUCAGGUCGCAGUCUCCAUUGGAGGCGUGGGUUCGAAUCCCACUUCUGACA